AACGAACGCUGGCGGCAGGCCUAACACAUGCAAGUCGAACGCUGUAGCAAUACAGUGUGGCAGACGGGUGAGUAACGCGUGGGAACAUGCCCUUCGGUUCGGAAUAACUCAGGGAAACUUGAGCUAAUACCGGAUACGCCCUUAGGGGGAAAGAUUUAUUGCCGAAGGAUUGGCCCGCGUCCGAUUAGCUAGUUGGUGAGGUAAUGGCUCACCAAGGCGACGAUCGGUAGCUGGUCUGAGAGGAUGAUCAGCCACACUGGGACUGAGACACGGCCCAGACUCCUACGGGAGGCAGCAGUGGGGAAUAUUGGACAAUGGGCGCAAGCCUGAUCCAGCCAUGCCGCGUGAGUGAUGAAGGCCCUAGGGUUGUAAAGCUCUUUCGCCAGGGACGAUAAUGACGGUACCUGGAUAAGAAGCCCCGGCUAACUUCGUGCCAGCAGCCGCGGUAA
rnacentral:rRNA from 1 species